GAGUUUGAUCGUGGCUCAGAGCGAACGCUGGCGGCAGGCCUAACACAUGCAAGUCGAACGGAUCCUUCGGGAUUAGUGGCGGGCGGGUGAGUAACACGUGGGAACGUGCCUUUUGGUUCGGAACAACUCAGGGAAACUUGAGCUAAUACCGGAUGUGCCCUUCGGGGGAAAGAUUUAUCGCCAUUAGAGCGGCCCGCGUCUGAUUAGCUAGUUGGUGGGGUAAAGGCCCACCAAGGCGACGACCAGUAGCUGGUCUGAGAGGAUGAUCAGCCACACUGGGACUGAGACACGGCCCAGACUCCUACGGGAGGCAGCAGUGGGGAAUCUUGCGCAAUGGGCGAAAGCCUGACGCAGCCAUGCCGCGUGAAUGAUGAAGGUCUUAGGAUUGUAAAAUUCUUUCACCGGGGACGAUAAUGACGGUACCCGGAGAAGAACGCCCCGGCUAACUUCGUGCCAGCCGCCGCAGUAA
rnacentral:rRNA from 1 species